rnacentral:lncRNA from 1 species
CACAGGAUGAAGACAUGAAGAGAAAGUUUCAAGAUCUUCUGUCUGAGGAAAAUGAAUCCACAGCUCUAUCUCAGGUUCUAGCCCCGCCUUCUACUAUUCGAAAGCGGCCUCGUGAAGGGGAAGCCGAGGGUGCUGAGACCACAAAGCGUCCGGCUGUGUGUGCUGCUCUGUUGUGAACUCCGUGGUUUGAACAUGAAAGAAAUGUACCUUCUUUCACUCUGUCAUCUUUCUUUUCUUUGAGUCUGUUUUUUAUAGUUUGUAUUUUAAUUAUGGGAAUAAUUGCUUUUUCACAGUCACUGAUGUAUAAUUAAAAACCUGAUGGAACCUGGG